rnacentral:lncRNA from 1 species
UAGUAAUUAAUAUUAUUUUAUUGUAGAAAUAAACACCAACUACAAUUGUAUUCGAAAUCCCACAAAACAAGGUCUAUGUUUUAUUCAACUGUCCAAAAUAGUGGUUGUGUUUGCAGCAGUGGUGGUGAAAGUAGAGUCGAAUGCAUUAGCUAACAAAUCGAUUUCCUUGUUCAUUGUUGCGCAUGGCAUUUGGCAAUUCAAAUGUGACUUCCUCAAAGCCCUACUUAAUUCCUUUGAGCUGUCAAAAAUCAGAAUCCAAAAAAUAGUUAACAAUUGGAAUAUGGGUAUAUUUUUCAUUUGAAUGAAAAAAUUGAACAUCACGAGGUAUGGAGAUUGAAAAUCUAUAAUAGACUUGAACAAUGGACAAUAAGGAAAAAACAAACUUGAAGUUAAUUGGCCAAUUGUUCAACAUUAUCAUCUAAUAUUUAUCAUUCGGAUUGAAUAUACUCGACAUAAUCAUAAUCAUAAAUGAAUUAACGACUUUUACUUAAUUAAGGUGAAAAUAGAAGAAGAAAACUCAUCACCUUACAACCUAUAGAACAAAACAAUUUUUUUUUUUUUUGGCAAACCGAUAGAACAAAACUUGAAAGGAACAAUCAUGUUUUUAUGCCAGAUUUGGCAUCCAGGAGAUAAUAUUUUCAUAGUUAAUGUGGUAAAUAUGGAUGUUAGAUACAUCAAUGUAUAAAUGUACUGAGUAUUGUCAUUCAGUCUUAAGACUUCAUGGUUCAAUCUAGGAUAACAUAAACAAAUGGGGGUCAUAUUUUAAAUAUUAAAGAGAGAAUUAGAUAAUUAAGAAUGCAUGUUUUUAGAUGUACUUACUUGAAGAAAGGGGUGGUUUUUGUGAUCUAACUUCAUACAAUAAGAACAUUGAGUUUCUCCUUUGUAAAUCACGCAAAACAUGUUACAUUCACCUCUAGUUGAUGCAAUAUCUAUUGGACAAGGAUCAAAGUAUGAGUUGCUUAUGAAUUCAAUUAGGCCAUGAAGGAAUCAGAAGCAAGUUUUCAUUCAGAUUAGCUUCUACCUUUAAUAUUCAUUCCAUCAGUUUGUUAUCUAAAUCCCCCAUUAUUGAUGAAAUAUCUGAAUAUUACAAAAUUUUUGUUAACUAUAAAAAAUUCAACAUCCAAAACAAUAGCAUGCAAAUUUUUUAGAAUAUCUAAAAUCUAAAUGUUAUUUUCUAUUAUCUCUACUAUAUUGUGAGCAAAAUUAAAGAAAUUGAUGAAAAUCAAACGAUAUAGAUUUUUCUGCUAUAAAAAAUCUUACCUUGUUGAUCUUGAAUUUGAGAGAGACC